UGGGGAAUUUUGGACAAUGGGCGAAAGCCUGAUCCAGCAAUGCCGCGUGUGUGAAGAAGGCCUUCGGGUUGUAAAGCACUUUUGUCCGGAAAGAAAUCCUUGGCUCUAAUACAGUCGGGGGAUGACGGUACCGGAAGAAUAAGCACCGGCUAACUACGUGCCAGCAGCCGCGGUAAUACGUAGGGUGCAAGCGUUAAUCGGAAUUACUGGGCGUAAAGCGUGCGCAGGCGGUUUGCUAAGACCGAUGUGAAAUCCCCGGGCUCAACCUGGGAACUGCAUUGGUGACUGGCAGGCUAGAGUAUGGCAGAGGGGGGUAGAAUUCCACGUGUAGCAGUGAAACGCGUAGAGAUGUGGAGGAAUACCGAUGGCGAAGGCAGCCCCCCUGGGCCAAUACUGACGCUCAUGCACGAAAGCGUGGGGAGCAAACAGGAUUAGAUACCCCUGGUAGUCCACGCCCUAAACGAUGUCAACUAGUUGUUGGGGAUUCAUUUCCUUAGUAACGUAGCUAACGCGUGAAGUUGACCGCCUGGGGAGUACGGUCGCAAGAUU
rnacentral:rRNA from 1 species